rnacentral:rRNA from 1 species
AGCGGCCAUACCAUGCUGAAUAUACCGGUUCUCGUUAGAUCACCGAAGUCAAGCAGCAUUGGGCGCGAUCAGUACUUGGGUGGGUGACCACCUGGGAACACCGCGGGCCG